AUGUACUCCCUCCGUCCGGGAAAAGUUGUCUUCGUGGCAAUUUUAGGAAAACCUCCUCGGUGUAUUCCCGACAAACGACACACUCCCCCACCUCCGCUCCUCUCCCCGCCGGUUCCCCUGCUUGUCUCCUCCCUUGUCGGAGCCCUCUGCUCGGCUCCCCAAGAAGCUGUUGCUGGCGUCGCCGGAGAUUCCCCGCGCAAGAAGAUCCCUGCUCUGCUACCCCUCCUUGCUCCCCUCCUCCUCCGCCGCGUUGCUUCCCCGGCUAGGAGAAGCAUCGAUUUUUCCGACCUCCUCCGACAGAAGCCGCAGCUGCCCUACUCCACCACCGCCACAGCUUGUCGCCGCCAUAACUACCUCCUCCGCGGCUCUCUCCUGCUCGCGCAGCUCCAGCUUGCCUUCCUCCCCUAG
rnacentral:rRNA from 1 species